rnacentral:rRNA from 1 species
GGGGGGGGGGGGGGGGGGGCUUGGGGGGGGGGGGGGGGGGGGGGCGGGGCGGGUUGUGGGGGGUGGUCGGGUGGCGAGGGGGGGAGGAGGACGUGAGUAAACUGCCCUUGCGAUUGGGGUGACUUCAGGGAGCAGGGGGUAAUAGCGGAUAGGAGCUGCUGGUGCGGUGUGGGGUGUGGAGGGUUGCGGCGGUUGGGGAUGGACUCGCGGCUUAUCAGCUUGUUGGUGGGGUAGGGGCUUACCAAGGCUUUGACGGGUAGCCGGCCUGAGAGGGUGACCGGCCACAUUGGGACUGAGAUACGGCCCAGACUCCUACGGGAGGCAGCAGUGGGGAAUAUUGCACAAUGGGCGGAAGCCUGAUGCAGCAACGCCGCGUGCGGGAUGACGGCCUUCGGGUUGUAAACCGCUUUCGCCUGUGACGAAGCGUGAGUGACGGUAAUGGGUAAAGAAGCACCGGCUAACUACGUG